GGGUGGGUAGCUCAGUGGCUAGAGGUUAGGACUCUUAACCGGAAGAUCGCGGGAUCGAGUCCCGAUAGAGGCA
rnacentral:tRNA from 1 species